CAAAUCUGUUUAAUGCUAACCUGGCCUAAUAGGAUAUAGCUGGGUGCCCUGAUCUGUUUCCAGAUCCAAUCUUCUGUGUUUUGAUGGGAGUGCUGUGUGUAAAAAGUUCCAACUCAGCAGUUGAGAAGAAGACUGCGUUCCCUGGGAAUUGGCCUUAGGACACUUCAGUGGUCUUCAGCCUGCGCUUGGCCAACAAUAAUAGAACGAAGCGGUCAGCAGUAGGAGACGAGCCUGAGAGCCAAUGAAAACUGAUCUCUGCAGAAGGGUAAGUGUGUUGUUGACGUGGUGAGAUAGCUUAGCAUAAGCCAUUAGCUAAAUCUCCCAAAAAGUAGGAAAAUCCAGCAGAAUGGGAAUUAAAAUUGCAUAAAGAUUACUCAAGGAACCGAAAGAUAUGCUUUAAAAAAAAUAAGCCACAGGAUGAAGCUUAAUGUCACUGGAUUGUUUGGUUGAGGAAUCUGUUUCAAAAAAUGCACUGCAAUGUUUUCUAGAGAUUGUGUGCUCUUGGACAUUUUGUGUUUGCUUCUGUGACUCUUAAGCUGAGAAAUAGAAUUGAGAUGCUAACUCAAGAAAUGAUAGUAAAAAUGGGAUUUCUAGGUAUUACUAAAGGAAGGUUUGAAUUGACAAUUUUAGGAUCAGGUUUAAAAAUGCAUUUAGAAAUAUCUAGCCUUUUGAAAACCUUGCUUUGUUUGCCAAUAGUAGAGCAUCCUUAUUUUUAUAGGGAAAAAUACUGUUUGAUGAAAAAUUUUUGAUGAAGUUUGGGAUAUAAAUGACACGAAGAACCAUUUUUCAAUUGGUCUUUUUUACGGGAAAGCAGUAAGCUAGAUAAGAGAUUAUCAUCAAAGUACCUUAAUUGCAGUGAACUUACUGGGUUUUUAGAUAUUGUCCUUUGACUGCAGUGAAUCAAGGAGUGAUUCUAGCUGAAAACCUUUGUCAGUUAAGAGUUCAUCAUAUCCUUCGCAUCCUCCAGUGUAGAAAUGUGUAGGUGUGUCUUUACAUAUACUAUUUCUAGGUAUAUAAAAAUGUAAUAAAGUUUGGCACUUAAAUACUUUCUCUUCACCAAAAUUUUUAGACAUCCCAAGAGUUCUCAGAUUUAAAUGAUAAAAGGGGUGCCAUAAGGCACCAUUUUAGUAAUUAACUGAUUCUUUAAUAAGGCCUCAAUUACUUUGUUUCAUGAUAAGGAAAAAAAAAAAACAUGUUCCAAGACAGAGUUCCAUUCGACAUCUGGGAACCUCCUAACAGCUGGCUACCUAAUGAAUAUGCAUCUGCUUAAAAGGCUGUAGACCAUUAAUAAACCAAUAGAUGUAAAGCAGAAACAAUCUCUGUCAACUUCAAAUGAGAUUGGAUGCAAUGUGCUGUGAAGUGUCACUGUCACAUUGAAUUGAGUUUGGGAGGUUAACAAUCACCUCUUAGCUACUCAUGUCUUUGUAUACUGCACUGGUGCUAACACUCU